rnacentral:rRNA from 1 species
UAGGGAAUCUUCCGCAAUGGACGCAAGUCUGACGGAGCAACGCCGCGUGAGUGAAGAAGGUUUUCGGAUCGUAAAACUCUGUUGUUAGAGAAGAACAAGUGCUAGAGUAACUGUUAGCGCCUUGACGGUAUCUAACCAGAAAGCCACGGCUAACUACGUGCCAGCAGCCGCGGUAAUACGUAGGUGGCAAGCGUUGUCCGGAUUUAUUGGGCGUAAAGCAAGCGCAGGCGGUUCCUUAAGUCUGAUGUGAAAGCCCCCGGCUCAACCGGGGAGGGUCAUUGGAAACUGGGGAACUUGAGUGCAGAAGAGGAGAGUGGAAUUCCAUGUGUAGCGGUGAAAUGCGUAGAUAUAUGGAGGAACACCAGUGGCGAAGGCGACUCUCUGGUCUGUAACUGACGCUGAGGCUCGAAAGCGUGGGUAGCAAACAGGAUUAGAUACCCUGGUAGUCCACGCCGUAGACGAUGAGUGCUAAGUGUUGGAGGGUUUCCGCCCUUCAGUGCUGCAGUUAACGCAUUAAGCACUCCGCCUGGGGAGUACGACCGCAAGGUUG